GUCGAACGCUGGCGGCGUGCUUAACACAUGCAAGUCGAACGGAGUGGCAAACGGGUGAGUAACACGUAAACAACCUGCCUUCAGGAUGGUGACAACAGACGGAAACGACUGCUAAUACCGAAUACCUGACGAGUGGUUUGCGUCUGAUUAGGCAGUUGGUGGGGUAACGGCCCACCAAACCAACGAUCAGUAGCCGGGUUGAAGGGAUGAACGGCCACACUGGGACUGAGGCAACGUCCAGACUCCUACGGGGGGCAGCAGUGGGGGAUCUGCCGAAAUGGGCGAAAAUCUGGCGGAGCAAAGCCGGGUGGGAGAAGACGGCCUUCGGGUUGGAAAGCUAUGUGAACCGGGGCGCGGUACCGGAAGAGCAAGCAACGGCUAACUACGUGCCAGCAGCCGCGGUAAUUC
rnacentral:rRNA from 1 species